rnacentral:rRNA from 1 species
UACGGAGGGUGCAAGCGUUACUCGGAAUCACUGGGCGUAAAGAGCGCGUAGGCGGGAUAGCAAGUCAGAUGUGAAAUCCUAUGGCUUAACCAUAGAACUGCAUUUGAAACUGUUAUUCUAGAGUAUGGGAGAGGUAGGUGGAAUUCUUGGUGUAGCGGUGAAAUGCGUAAAUAUAUGUAAGAACACCGGUGGCGAAGGCGGCUUGCUGGGCCUGUACUGACAUUGAGGCACGAAAGCGUGGGGAGCAAACAGG